CCAAGUUGCCACCUUAAAAACAUUUGCCAUGUAGUUGUGACCUAUGAUCUCAAACAUAUGUAUUUCCCCAUCUUCUCCUCCAGUAAAAAGGAAGUCCCCUGUGUGGCUUCUUGCCAAGGAAUAAGUGUUACCAACAUGAGCACGGUCAAUAACAGUUAACGGAGUCCCACUACAAGCGUCCCAAACAUACACAUCUGAGCCUGAUGUGCUAGCAACUGUUGUAUCGUGUGGAGCAAGGCCCCAUACCCAGUCACUAUGUCUCAAGACCU
rnacentral:misc_RNA from 1 species